rnacentral:misc_RNA from 1 species
GGAGAGCGAGCACUCGGAUGGGUAUUUAUAGUGGGUAACAUUGGAGAAGAAGGGGAAAGUGCUUUGCUUUUAGCAGUUUUGGUUGGGAAAAUCUGGGUCGUGGAUUAUUGGAUUAUCGACGGUCAAGAAUCUGUAUGAAAGAGUUAAACGGAUUGCGAUCCGCGUGCGAUGUGACGUGGCCAAUGGGAUUGGUUUCUUGACCGGGAAAAUUGACAUUUUUGUUUAUGUUUGAAGGUUUUGGGGUUCUUUUGGGGUCGUUGAAUUCCAGCCGUCGAUAGACUGUGGAUCGACGGUUCUGCCAUCAAGGCAACAAAUGGCAUUAUUUU